GUGAGGGUGACUAAAAUGUAGAAAUCUCAUCAAGCAUAGGCCCAGGACAUUUCCACUCCCGUACAAGGAUAUGGCCCCUCCCUAAAGACCAACUUUGAAUGAUGGCUAGGUUUUCCCAGGCUCAUAUGCACAGUGUGAAAUGGUCUGGGGAUAGGGUUAAGGUAAAUCAUAGUAAUGUCGUCAAAUUCUCCCUUAGUCAUUACUAUGUUUGGGAGGCAUGAUGACGCUGUAAAUGCUUGUUGGACUUUUGACAUGUUCCCAUCUCGCUUGGUAAACAUUGACAGUGUAACAGUGGUGCCAAAUAGUCAUUAUUUCUCUACGAAAUGUUACAAUCGCAAAUUUUGAUGCAAUAUAUUUGGUUUUGCAUUUAUUUAUUUUGUUAUAGCUCCCCUCACACUGCAUCUGUCCGUUCGUGUGCGGGUCCACCUUCCUGCCAGACGGUUUGGUUUGGCUGCUCCAGAUUUGGUUUGAGGAGAAAGGUGGUGGACAAAAAAUGGAGGGCAUCUUCACUUGUAGUGAGAACAUUUAGGAGCUCAUGGAAUUCAUCAAUACCAGAUGACACGGAUCCAGAGAACACUAUGAGAAGUUGUUGGUACAGCUGUCUAAGGUCAUUGCCGUGUGGAAACCUCAGUUGGCAUCCUCCUGUCUUCCAGAUACUGCUGACCAAGCUGCCCUCCAUUAGCCAGAUUGAGGAUGCUCCCAAGAAAAGCAAGGGCUAGAGUGGCACCAGAAUUGUCACAACAAAACUGUAAUAAUUUGUGCUUCUUGUUCACGGGUGGUUCUGGUUGAUGUUGUGUCUCAUUUCCAUGUAUAAUUUUAGUAAGUUAGCAGAACAACAUACAAAAACAAUUAGGGUAAACUGUCAAGUACAGAAAAACAGAUUUUUCACCUUGCCUGAAUUAGAUUUGAUCGAGCAAACUGGCUAACGGCUUGGCCAUACACUGUCACUCCAUAACUGGAAUUAAGUAGGAACUUAGUCCCCGAUUAUACUACUAAUACUACAGACUAUGUAUUAGAAAAAUUGAUGCAAAUGUAACUAUUAUUACUAAACUGUAUUCAAUUAAAUGCAUAGUGUCACUUUGUUACAAUCCACUUGUCACAUGUUGAAUAAGACAUUGUGCAAAUGGAAAUACAAUACAUAAAUGUUCUUCCAGAUUAAGUUAUUUGAAUCUUAUGUUUAAAACUAUUAGCCUAUCAACGAAACCUAAUUAAAACCUUUGUGGAAAUUGUA